ACGGAAGGCAGCAGUGGGGAAUAUUGCACAAUGGGCGAAAGCCUGAUGCAGCGACGCCGCGUGAACGAAGAAGUAUUUCGGUAUGUAAAGUUCUAUCAGCAGGGAAGAUAAUGACGGUACCUGACUAAGGAGCACCGGCUAAAUACGUGCCAGCAGCCGCGGUAAUACGUAUGGUGCAAGCGUUAUCCGGAUUUACUGGGUGUAAAGGGAGCGCAGGCGGCGCGGCAAGUCUGAAGUGAAAUCCCGGGGCUCAACCCCGGAACUGCUUUGGAAACUGUCGUGCUAGAGUGUCGGAGGGGUAAGCGGAAUUCCUAGUGUAGCGGUGAAAUGCGUAGAUAUUAGGAGGAACACCAGUGGCGAAGGCGGCUUACUGGACGAUAACUGACGCUGAGGCUCGAAAGCGUGGGGAGCAAACAGGAUUAGAUACCCUGGUA
rnacentral:rRNA from 1 species